UACGGGGGGGCAAGCGUUGUUCGAAUUACUGGGCGUAAAGGGCUCGUAGGCGGCCAACUAAGUCAGACGUGAAAUCCCUCAGCUUAACUGGGGAACUGCGUCUGAUACUGGAUGGCUUGGAUUCGGGAGAGGAAUGCGGAAUUCCAGGUGUAGCGGUGAAAUGCGUAGAUAUCUGGAGGAACACCGGUGGCGAAGGCGGCAUUCUGGACCGACAUUGACGCUGAGGAGCGAAAGCCAGGGGAGCAAACGGG
rnacentral:rRNA from 1 species